GCCUCCGUAAUCUAAUUGACUAGGACACUUGCGCGUAAAGCAAGCAAUCUGGGUUCGACUCCCGGCUGAGAUA
rnacentral:tRNA from 1 species